rnacentral:rRNA from 1 species
AUUGAACGCUGGCGGCAGGCCUAACACAUGCAAGUCGAACGGUAACAGGAAGAAGCUUGCUUCUUUGCUGACGAGUGGCGGACGGGUGAGUAAUGUCUGGGAAACUGCCUGAUGGAGGGGGAUAACUACUGGAAACGGUAGCUAAUACCGCAUAACGUCGCAAGACCAAAGAGGGGGACCUUCGGGCCUCUUGCCAUCGGAUGCGCCCAGAUGGGAUUAGCUAGUAGGUGGGGUAACGGCUCACCUAGGCGACGAUCCCUAGCUGGUCUGAGAGGAUAACCAGCCACACUGGAACUGAGACACGGUCCAGACUCCUACGGGAGGCAGCAGUGGGGAAUAUUGCACAAUGGGCGCAAGCCUGAUGCAGCCAUGCCGCGUGUAUGAAGAAGGCCUUCGGGUUGUAAAGUACUUUCAGCGGGGAGGAAGGGAGUAAAGUUAAUACCUUUGCUCAUUGACGUUACCCGCAGAAGAAGCACCGGCUAACUCCGUG